rnacentral:rRNA from 1 species
AGUGAACGCUGGCGGUGGGCCUAACACAUGCAAGUCGAACGGCAGCACAGUAAGAGCUUGCUCUUACGGGUGGCGAGUGGCGGACGGGUGAGGAAUACAUCGGAAUCUACUUUUUCUUGGGGGAUAACGUAGGGAAACUUACGCUAAUACCGCAUACGACCUACGGGUGAAAGCAGGGGAUCUUCGGACCUUGCGCGAUUGAAUGAGCCGAUGUCGGAUUAGCUAGUUGGCGGGGUAAAGGCCCACCAAGGCGACGAUCCGUAGCUGGUCUGAGAGGAUGAUCAGCCACACUGGAACUGAGACACGGUCCAGACUCCUACGGGAGGCAGCAGUGGGGAAUAUUGGACAAUGGGCGAAAGCCUGAUCCAGCCAUACCGCGUGGGUGAAGAAGGCCUUCGGGUUGUAAAGCCCUUUUGUUGGGAAAGAAAAGCAGCAGGUUAAUACCCCGCUGUUCUGACGGUACCCAAAGAAUAAGCACCGGCUAACUUCGUG